rnacentral:lncRNA from 1 species
AGUGCGACAGACAGCCUCAGAGCUGGUGGGGAGACAGCAUGCCACUGGAAAAAUUCGUAGACAUGGAAUUCCUGGAUCAAAUGGAGGAGAUGGAAGAUUGAGAGCAGAGUGCAAGAAUGGGAAGAGGGCUUCGUGCCCUGUGCACGUUUGCCACCUAGUGACCAAACUGAAUGGUGUGCUUCUCACCUCAGCGUGAUAGCCUGACCUUGACUCCUGAGUUCCACGAUCGCUUCACAACUGCAAGUCACCAUCAUACAAAAUUUGAGUUUCCCUAAGUCCGCGCCUUUGAGAGCUUUGGAACGAUAUGCAAGUUCAAGUCACCAUCCUGUUUCUUGCUACCUCCUGUGAGAAGACCAACAUUUGGGUUACACUUGUUUCUACUCUUGUUCUUCUGCUUGUUAUUGUUGCCUCUGCAGCCAUUGAUCACACACGUGUUGUCAUACAAAAACUGGUUAGCCUUUUUAUUUGUCUUGUGAAUUUUAUCAUUUGGUUCUUAAGUAUUACAAAUUAAUAUUGUGUACUCUCAUUGAUAUACAACUUGCAGUCAUUGUAAAUAUGCGUGAGUUAGGGGUGAGAAUGGCAUGCAAGCAAAAGAACAAGGAGAGGGAUGAUAGAGAUGCAAGAAGAGUAAAGAGGGCAAGAAAGUUUAUGUUAAUAGCGAACACAAUGAAAGUUCUUUAAAUGCUUGAUAAUGGUGAAAGCAACACUUCCUAGGGCAUAUUUUUGGUGUUAAUGAACCUACACAUCAUACAAUAAAGAAAAUUGAGAAA